rnacentral:rRNA from 1 species
UGGUCAAGUUAUUAAGGGUGCAGGGCGGAUGCCUUGGCACUAGGAGCCGAUGAAGGACGUGAUAAGCUGCGAUAAGCUUCGGGGAGUUGCACGUAAACUUUGAUCCGAAGAUUUCCGAAUGAGGAAACUCACUUAGAGUAAUGUCUAAGUAUCAUUAAGUGAAUACAUAGCUUAAUGAGGGGAACUCAGGGAACUGAAACAUGUAAGGACCAGAAGGAAGAGAACGAAAGUCGAUUCCGUAAGUAGCGGCGAGCGAACGCGGAUUAGCACAAACCAAU